rnacentral:rRNA from 1 species
UAUGUGAUCGUCUCUCGCAUAUCAAUAAGCGGAGGAAAAGAAACUAACAAGGAUUCCCCUAGUAACGGCGAGUGAAGCGGGAAGAGCUCAAAUUUGAAAUCUUAAAGGGUUUCCCUUUACGAAUUGUAGUUUAAAGAAGUGUUUUCUGUUGAGGUUUUGGUAAAAGUUCUUUGGAAUAGGACAUCAUAGAGGGUGAGAAUCCCGUAUUUGACCUUUACUUUCAACUUUGUGAUACACUUUCAAAGAGUCGGAUUGUUUGGGAAUGCAGUCCAAAAUGGGUGGUAAAUUUCAUCUAAAGCUAAAUAUUGGCGAGAGACCGAUAGCGAACAAGUACCGCGAGGGAAAGAUGAAGAGAACUUUGAAAAGAGAGUUAAACAGUACGUGAAAUUGUCAAAAGGGAAGCGUUUGACACCAGUGUUGUUUUUCUGAAAAUCAAUUAAAGAACUGUUUAUGCUAAGUUGUUUAGACUUUAUCAGCUAACUGUUUAGUUUUGAGCUUUUCUUUAAUGCACUUUUCAGUUAACAAGUCAACAUCAAUUUCUUUUGCUGUAAAAAAGCUUGAGGAAGGUGGCUUGAGAUUCGUCUUAAGUGUUUAUAGCCUCUUGCCUAUGCAGUCGGAGAGAUUGAGGUCUGCAGCGUAGAUCCUUCGGGGCUAAAUGCAUUUGUGCUAAGUUAUAGCAUUUUAUAGACAACUUGUUGACUAUGAUUUGUCUUGUAGCUUACUCGCUUAUGCUAUUUUACCUACGCUUAGGAUGUUGACACACGCGCGUGCUCG